UACAGCAUAUCCUGUCGACGCGAUUGCAGUGGUUCGAUUCAGAGUGCCUCUAGUUGAGAAUUGACCACAGUGAACAGGCUUUGUGGUUUGUGCCUGCGAGGUGACAACGAACUACUAAAGAAAAUGUCCGAUUGUCGUCUUUUGCUCGUAGCGUUGCUAGCAAAAGUGUUUUUCAAACAUAGUACGAAGGCUGAUCAGGUCGACAGCGAAGCCUGUCUCGUGGAUUCACUCUAUAGAAUGGUAUCUGAAUUGAACGUGACGAUGCAGGAAAUAAAGUCGGAAGUCACUAAUUUGAAAAGUGAAUUGGAGU